GCCUGUUCGAGUUUCACUUCCUGAAAAGCUUUUGUUCGUAUCGUUGAAAGUCAAGACAUUAUUGGCAAUUUUACGCUUUCCCUCGCGAUUUGAACUGCAGAAGGUUCAGUUAUUAGUCCAGUACAAGAAAGCCGUCGAGUAAUCAACGAACCAAGGAGACUCGCGUCGUUGGAUUUCAGAAAACCUGAUCAAUUCAAGCGUUACGCUUUAAGACUUUUUUUUACAAUUACUUUGCCCAAUAGAAAAUAGACAUACCAUGACUGUUGAUCCAGUUGUCUACAAAGAAGUCUGCACCAUUGGUACACAGACAGAUGACAAUGGCUGUAAUAAUGGUUGUACUUCCAUGUACAUCAAUGUAGUUCAUGUUAUCCACAGCACUGGAGAAUCAAUACAAGUUGUUUUGGAUGAUUCUAGAGUCAUUGAAGCAGACCUAGAUAAUGGACGUUAUGAUGGAGGUAAAGAAGAGACAGACAAAGACAUGGAGGGCAUAAAAAUUCUUGAAGAAACAGAUGCCGAUCACUUUGAUGGAGGCAGAAUUAAAGAAGGCAAUUGCCACCGCA